rnacentral:rRNA from 1 species
GCGAUUCCGGCUACGGAUGGUCAUGCGUCGCAUUAGCUUGUUGGCGGGGUAACGGCCCACCAAGGCGACGAUGCGUAGGGGUUCUGAGAGGAAGGUCCCCCACACUGGUACUGAGACACGGACCAGACUCCUACGGGAGGCAGCAGUGAGGAAUAUUGGUCAAUGGCCGCAGGGCUGAACCAGCCAAGUCGCGUGAGGGAUGACGGUCCUAUGGAUUGUAAACCUCUUUUGUCAGGGAGCAAAGGGCGCCACGUGUGGCGUUUUGCGAGUACCUGAAGAAAAAGCAUCGGCUAACUCCGUGCCAGCAGCCGCGGUAAUACGGAGGAUGCGAGCGUUAUCCGGAUUUAUUGGGUUUAAAGGGUGCGCAGGCGGAAUGUCAAGUCAGCGGUAAAAUUUCGGGGCUCAACCCCGUCGUGCCGUUGAAACUGGCGUUCUUGAGUGAGCGAGAAGUAUGCGGAAUGCGUGGUGUAGCGGUGAAAUGCAUAGAUAUCACGCAGAACUCCGAUUGCGAAGGCAGCAUACCGGCGCUCAACUGACGCUCAUGCACGAAAGCGUGGGUAUCGAACAGGAUUAGAUACCCUGGUAGUCCACGCAGUAAACGAUGAAUACUAACUGUCCGGGCAGAAUGAUGCCUGG